ACUGAGUGCCCCCUUUCCUUUCUCUACAAUAUGCGCCCCUAAUUCAAAGUAAGUUAGAGACAGAGCAACUGUUUCUUUAAUUUAUUUGAUUGUUCGCACUGUAAUGGUAGCUAGGGUAAAGAUGGGGUAAUAAUAAAUGCGCCUCGGAAUAGAAUUUCAAGAUAGACUAUAGAAAUGCCGAUUAUUAUUAUUAUUAAGACCCCACAAUUCUUAAAUUGAAUAUUAUACUUUGGAAUUAUAUAGUAAUGCUCCGCCACCCCUGUCGGCUCAGUUGGGCUAAAAUGAUAUUUAUGACUUCUUUCCCUAUCCUGAAAGAAUUAUGAUUUUAAAAAGUCAUUAAUUUCUUUACAAAUUCUAUUUUAAUGUACUUAUUACGAAUUGCUCAAAGUGCUUUCGGGGACAGAUCUGUCGUAAACGGCGCUAUUUGACAAAAAGCAACGCUGCAGAGUCAUGUAUACGUAUUUAAUACCAAACUCUAAAAACGCUCGUACGCAAUAGCCUACCGCUGAGCUAGUGUACACAACCGAUCGCGUCCAUAUCAACAUACAUAUAUUCGGACGUAGCGGCCGUAAAAAUAAGGGUCAUAAAAUCCGAAAAUGGCGCACGUUAGCUGAAUUGCGGAUGGGCUAUAACUAGUAUAAGCAAACAAGUAGGCCAGAUGUCUGGAAACCAAGGAAAUUUACACAAACGAAACUUGUAAGUUCCAUUGUUUAUUUAUUAGUGAUGGGUUAUAUCCCAUGUAAUUGAUUAUAAGUGCUUUUAACAGCAUCGUACUGUAGUAUUAUAGUAAAGUUGCGUUAAUCAAUGUACUGGUGCCAGUGUUGCCUGUUUUACUACACAGUCAGGAUAGUGAUGCUCCUAUGUGUGUCUGGAUAUUGGAACUUCCAAUAAAUCAGGAACUAGGUUUGGACCGAGACAAAUCCGCACAGAGUCGGUUCUCUUGAGAAAUAACAACUCUAUCGGGCUUCAGAAUUGUUCCUGCGGAAGAAUGUUGGCACAAGUCGAUGAACCCACUGAUGGAGGAAGUCAGGGCCAUGAUGGGAGAUGGACCGGUCUAUCUGUCCUUUGAUAUCGAUGGUAUAGACCCAGGACUAUGCCCUGGGACAGGUACUCCUGAGAUUGGUGGUCUGACAUCCAUCCAAGCUAUGGAGAUAAUCAGAGGAUGUCAAGGUCUUAACCUUGUAGGUGGUGACCUUGUUGAGGUGGGUUCAUAGAUCUUAAAGGCAUCGAUCGUUUAACAAUGUUAAAUCUGAGAUGCAUGGUAUCAGUGUUUGUGAUAUGGUAUAAUAUUGAAGCCCUAAAAAAAUUGCGCUUCAAAAUUACCAUGAAGUGCCUCAAAAGAGUAAAAAUCUUUGAGUGACCAGUUAUACCAUACUCAUUUUUUUCCAAUAGACUGUAUUGUUAUAAAA